UACGGAGGAUCCGAGCGUUAUCCGGAUUUAUUGGGUUUAAAGGGAGCGUAGGUGGAUUGUUAAGUCAGUUGUGAAAGUUUGCGGCUCAACCCCUUUAAGCCGUUGAAACUGGUGAUCUUGAGUGGGCGAGAAGUAUGCGGAAUGCGUGGUGUAGCGGUGAAAUGCAUAGAUAUCACGCAGAACUCCGAUUGCGAAGGCAGCAUACCGGCGCCCGACUGACGCUGAGGCACGAAAGCGUGGGGAUCGAACAGG
rnacentral:rRNA from 1 species